rnacentral:rRNA from 1 species
AUACGUAGGUGGCAAGCGUUGUCCGGAUUUAUUGGGCGUAAAGCGAGUGCAGGCGGUCUUUCAAGUCUGAUGUGAUAGCCUUCGGCUUAACCGAAGAAGUGCAUCGGAAACUGGGAAACUUGAGUGCAGAAGAGGACAGUGGAACUCCAUGUGUAGCGGUGAAAUGCGUAGAUAUAUGGAAGAACACCAGUGGCGAAGGCGGCUGUCUGGUCUGUAACUGACGCUGAGGCUCGAAAGUAUGGGUAGC